AUGGUUAUUCUGACAAAUAAAAUAAAUAGCUGAGAAAUGACUGUCUUUUUCUCAAUGGAAGUCUAUGGGACUUUGGCCUUCUUGCAACCUGCAGGUACUUCCUAUUUGGAACACGUUGGGGGGGGUUGAGCUGUCCAUUGUUUUCACGUCAAUGGUCCCUCAAUUCUAUAUGGAUGAACUCUAUUCAAAUACGUAGUUGUAGAAUUAGAUAAGCUAAUUCUUCUUUAACAGUCCUGGUAAAUCGCCUGUCCGUCCUGGAAUAGGAUCUCUCCUUCAUGUAGACAUCCUUAAGGUUUCUUCUUUUUUCCUGAAUCAGGUUUUUUGAAUGUUUCAGCAGUGACCCGACCUCACACCGACGGCCCGUGUCAGCUUCAGUAUCAGGGUCUACAUCUUUGCUGCGCCCCGCCCCGAUGGAAACACUACGGGGACGGUGGAUGAAUGGGUGGAUGAGGGAAAGACAGGUGAGGCUGUGCAAACAAAAGGUGCUGAAAGGGUGUAGCAGGUGCAGGAACAGCUUCCAGUGGCGGCGGCGGCGUUAAAACCUCAAAGGUGACCAGCGUCUCCUCCGAGAUGCUGAACGCUCCUGUGUGGGGGGGGGUGACGGACAGGUAGACUCUGCAGGCUGCAGCCGUGCCAGCAUUCUCCAGCGUGGGAAAGAGAGCAAAUGUUUGCAGAGGGCGAGCACGGCGCCGAGGAGGAGGAAGUGCACGGUGACCGUGAUGAGAACCCAGAUAAACAGGAUGUUUUUGGUGACUUUUAGCUGCAUCUCUGCUCUCAGAGAUCAAUGCUGACAUGUGGACUCUGGUAAAAAUUCAUGUAUUAAUGGUGAUUAUCCUGCUUCCAUCAACGGCUGUGGAGCUCGCGGUCAGCCUGCUGCUGUUACCUUCUCCUCUGGGUUUGAAUCCAAAACCUGCUCAGAUUAGUGAACUCUCAGGAGUGGAAAGCGUUUCUAUGUUGAUCAUAUUUUCAGAUAAAUGACUUUUUGUCUCAAUCCAGACCCCCAGUGAUGAAAAGCUGCUUAGAUUGCGGCAUGAGCGGUGCUGCCACACCUCCUUCCUCAGACAGGAUCUCCAGGAGUUGGUUCUUGAUGGCAGAAAGAAUGGCGAGCAUGCAGGUCUGGAACCCUUCUAAAUGACAGGAAUGCAACGUUCACUUUUCCUCCUGCGGAGCCUCAACCGUCCUGAUACACCAAGAAUCCGUCCGUAUCUAAUCUGAGGCGGGAGACUUCAGCAUCCAAACCUGCUUUUCGAAGGAGCUCAGGCCUCAAGCUGAAGGAUCAGCCGUCUGGACUCAGGCCCGCUCAGAACCUUCAGACGAGGUUUCAGUCAGAAAACCUGACGGCCUGCUCAUCAUUCUACUCAGCUACAGUAGUUAUCGCUCCACUGAUCCAACCUCCUGUCGUGUAAAUUUGUCACUUUGCAUUUGAUCUGCAGGUUAAAGCACACAUGUCAAAGUCAAGGCCCGCGGGCCGCAUCUGGCCCACCGGGUGAUUAUAUCCGCCCCUCCAGGUCAUUUUAUUUUACUGUUAUU